UACGUAGGGACCGAGCGUUGUCCGGAUUCAUUGGGCGUAAAGAGCUCGUAGGCGGCCACUCAAGUCGAAUGUGAAACCUCGAGGCUCAACCUCGAGCCUGCAUUCGAUACUGGGCGGCUAGAGUCUGGUAGGGGGAUCUGGAAUUCCUGGUGUAGCGGUGGAAUGCGCAGAUAUCAGGAGGAACACCGGUGGCGAAGGCAGGUCUCUGGGCAGUAACUGACGCUGAGGAGCGAAAGCGUGGGGAGCGAACAGG
rnacentral:rRNA from 1 species